rnacentral:rRNA from 1 species
UACGAAGGGGGCUAGCGUUGCUCGGAAUUACUGGGCGUAAAGCGCGCGCAGGCGGUCCUUCAAGUCAGAGGUGAAAGCCCAGAGCUCAACUCUGGAAUGGCCUUUGAGACUAGAGGACUUGGGUACGGGAGAGGUGAGUGGAAUUCCGAGUGUAGAGGUGAAAUUCGUAGAUAUUCGGAAGAACACCAGUGGCGAAGGCGGCUCACUGGCCCGUUACCGACGCUCAGGCGCGACAGCGUGGGGAGCAAACAGG